rnacentral:rRNA from 1 species
CUGGCUCAGGAUAACGCUGGCGGCGUGCCUAAUACAUGCAAGUCGAAUGGUAGUAGCAAUACAAACCAUGGCGAACGGGUGAGUAACACGUAGGCAACCUGACUUUAAGACGAGGAUAACCGUUGGAAACGACGGAUAAUACUGGAUAGGACAUCAGAAAGGGCAUCCUUAGAUGUUUAAAGGUUAUUAUGCCACUUAGAGAGGGGCCUGCGGCGCAUUAGCUAGUUGGUGAGAUAACAGCCCACCAAGGCGAUGAUGCGUAGCCGGACUGAGAGGUUGAACGGCCACAAUGGAACUGAGAACGGUCCAUACUCCUACGGGAGGCAGCAGUAGGGAAUUUUCGGCAAUGGGCGCAAGCCUGACCGAGCAACGCCGCGUGAACGAAGAAGUUAUUCGUAAUGUAAAGUUCUUUUAUCUGGGAAGAAAAAACAAAUUGACGGUACCAGAUGAAUAAGCUCCGGCUAACUACGUGCCAGCCGCAGC